UGUAAAAGUGAUGGGUUGCACACUAGCAGAGUCAUAGUACUGGGGGACACAGGCAAUAUUCAGUACAACCCUGAGGGGACAAGUGCACAAGGACCACUCAGUCAUC
rnacentral:snoRNA from 1 species